rnacentral:rRNA from 1 species
AGUGAACGCUGGCGGUAGGCCUAACACAUGCAAGUCGAACGGCAGCACAGUAAGAGCUUGCUCUUACGGGUGGCGAGUGGCGGACGGGUGAGGAAUACAUCGGAAUCUACUUUUUCGUGGGGGAUAACGUAGGGAAACUUACGCUAAUACCGCAUACGACCUACGGGUGGAAGCAGGGGAUCUUCGGACCUUGCGCGAUUGAAUGAGCCGAUGUCGGAUUAGCUAGUUGGCGGGGUAAAGGCCCACCAAGGCGACGAUACGUAGCUGGUCUGAGAGGAUGAUCAGCCACACUGGAACUGAGACACGGUCCAGACUCCUACGGGAGGCAGCAGUGGGGAAUAUUGGACAAUGGGCGCAAGCCUGAUCCAGCCAUACCGCGUGGGUGAAGAAGGCCUUCGGGUUGUAAAGCCCUUUUGUUGGGAAAGAAAAGCAGCAGGUUAAUACCCCGCUGUUCUGACGGUACCCAAAGAAUAAGCACCGGCUAACUUCGUG